UACAGAGGAUGCAAGCGUUAUCCGGAAUGAUUGGGCGUAAAGCGUCUGUAGGUGGCUUUUUAAGUCCGCCGUCAAAUCUCAGGGCUCAACUCUGGACAGGCGGUGGAAACUACCAAGCUGGAGUACGGUAGGGGCAGAGGGAAUUUCCGGUGGAGCGGUGAAAUGCGUAGAGAUCGGGAGGAACACCAGUGGCGAAGGCGGCUACCUGGACCAGCACUGACACUGAGGCACGAAAGCGUGGGGAGCAAACAGG
rnacentral:rRNA from 1 species